rfam:Caryophanon tenue strain DSM 14152 DSM_14152_R1_001_contig_6, whole genome shotgun sequence.
UACGGUCUUCGGGGUCGGGUGAAAAUCCCAACCGGUAGUGAUUGAGCACAGUCUCAUAAGCCUACGAGCGGUUCGCCGCAGGAUUUGGUGAAAUUCCAAAGCCGACAGUAAAGUCUGGAUGGGAGAAGACGUAC